rnacentral:rRNA from 1 species
AGACUUUGAUCCUGGCUCAGAUUGAACGCUGGCGGAAUGCUUUACACAUGCAAGUCGAACGGCAGCACGGGAGCUUGCUCCUGGUGGCGAGUGGCGAACGGGUGAGUAAUGCGUCGGAACGUACCGAGUAAUGGGGGAUAACGCGGCGAAAGCUGUGCUAAUACCGCAUACGAUCUCAGGAUGAAAGCAGGGGACCGCAAGGCCUUGCGCUCACGGAGCGGCCGAUGGCAGAUUAGGUAGUUGGUGGGAUAAAAGCUUACCAAGCCGACGAUCUGUAGCUGGUCUGAGAGGACGACCAGCCACACUGGGACUGAGACACGGCCCAGACUCCUACGGGAGGCAGCAGUGGGGAAUUUUGGACAAUGGGGGCAACCCUGAUCCAGCCAUUCCGCGUGAGUGAAGAAGGCCUUCGGGUUGUAAAGCUCUUUCAGCUGGAACGAAACGGUACGCUCUAACAUAGCGUGCUAAUGACGGUACCAGCAGAAGAAGCACCGGCUAACUACGUGCCAGCAGCCGCGGUAAUACGUAGGGUGCGAGCGUUAAUCGGAAUUACUGGGCGUAAAGCGUGCGCAGGCGGAUUGUUAAGCAAGAUGUGAAAUCCCCGGGCUUAACCUGGGAAUGGCAUUUUGAACUGGUAGUCUAGAGUGCGUCAGA